UACGUAGGGUGCAAGCGUUAAUCGGAAUUAUUGGGCGUAAAGCGCGUGUAGGCGGCUUUGCAAGUCGGGUGUGAAAGCCCUCAACUUAACUGAGGAAGUGCGCCCGAAACUGCAGAGCUUGAGUACCGGAGAGGGUGGCGGAAUUCCCCAAGUAGAGGUGAAAUUCGUAGAUAUGGGGAGGAACACCGGUGGCGAAGGCGGCCACCUGGACGGAUACUGACGCUGAGACGCGAAAGCGUGGGUAGCAAACAGG
rnacentral:rRNA from 1 species